rnacentral:rRNA from 1 species
GAUCCUGGCUCAGGACGAACGCUGGCGGCGUGCUUAACACAUGCAAGUGGAGCGACGAACCAGGCUUCGGCCUGGGGCAAAGCCGCGAACGGGUGAGUAUCACGUGGGUAACCUGCCCCGAUGACUGGGACAACCCGAGGAAACUCGGGCUAAUACCGGAUGUGCUCACGACCCUCAAGGGUCAUGAGUAAAGGAAGCUUCGGCCUCCGCAUUGGGUUGGGCCCGCGGCCCAUUAGCUUGUUGGUGAGGUAAAGGCU